rnacentral:rRNA from 1 species
GGUUAAGCGACUAAGCGUACACGGUGGAUGCCCUGGCAGUCAGAGGCGAUGAAGGACGUGCUAAUCUGCGAUAAGCGUCGGUAAGGUGAUAUGAACCGUUAUAACCGGCGAUUUCCGAAUGGGGAAACCCAGUGUGUUUCGACACACUAUCAUUAACUGAAUCCAUAGGUUAAUGAGGCGAACCGGGGGAACUGAAACAUCUAAGUACCCCGAGGAAAAGAAAUCAACCGAGAUUCCCCCAGUAGCGGCGAGCGAACGGGGAGCAGCCCAGAGCCUGAAUCAGUGUGUGUGUUAGUGGAAGCGUCUGGAAAGGCGCGCGAUACAGGGUGACAGCCCCGUACACAAAAAUGCACAUGCUGUGAGCUCGAUGAGUAGGGCGGGACACGUGGUAUCCUGUCUGAAUAUGGGGGGACCAUCCUCCAAGGCUAAAUACUCCUGACUGACCGAUAGUGAACCAGUACCGUGAGGGAAAGGCGAAAAGAACCCCGGCGAGGGGAGUGAAAAAGAACCUGAAACCGUGUACGUACAAGCAGUGGGAGCACGCUUAGGCGUGUGACUGCGUACCUUUUGUAUAAUGGGUCAGCGACUUAUAUUCUGUAGCAAGGUUAACCGAAUAGGGGAGCCGAAGGGAAACCGAGUCUUAACUGGGCGUUAAGUUGCAGGGUAUAGACCCGAAACCCGGUGAUCUAGCCAUGGGCAGGUUGAAGGUUGGGUAACACUAACUGGAGGACCGAACCGACUAAUGUUGAAAAAUUAGCGGAUGACUUGUGGCUGGGGGUGAAAGGCCAAUCAAACCGGGAGAUAGCUGGUUCUCCCCGAAAGCUAUUUAGGUAGCGCCUCGUGAAUUCAUCUCCGGGGGUAGAGCACUGUUUCGGCAAGGGGGUCAUCCCGACUUACCAACCCGAUGCAAACUGCGAAUACCGGAGAAUGUUAUCACGGGAGACACACGGCGGGUGCUAACGUCCGUCGUGAAGAGGGAAACAACCCAGACCGCCAGCUAAGGUCCCAAAGUCAUGGUUAAGUGGGAAACGAUGUGGGAAGGCCCAGACAGCCAGGAUGUUGGCUUAGAAGCAGCCAUCAUUUAAAGAAAGCGUAAUAGCUCACUGGUCGAGUCGGCCUGCGCGGAAGAUGUAACGGGGCUAAACCAUGCACCGAAGCUGCGGCAGCGACGCUGAUGCGUUGUUGGGUAGGGGAGCGUUCUGUAAGCCUGCGAAGGUGUGCUGUGAGGCAUGCUGGAGGUAUCAGAAGUGCGAAUGCUGACAUAAGUAACGAUAAAGCGGGUGAAAAGCCCGCUCGCCGGAAGACCAAGGGUUCCUGUCCAACGUUAAUCGGGGCAGGGUGAGUCGACCCCUAAGGCGAGGCCGAAAGGCGUAGUCGAUGGGAAACAGGUUAAUAUUCCUGUACUUGGUGUUACUGCGAAGGGGGGACGGAGAAGGCUAUGUUGGCCGGGCGACGGUUGUCCCGGUUUAAGCGUGUAGGCUGGUUUUCCAGGCAAAUCCGGAAAAUCAAGGCUGAGGCGUGAUGACGAGGCACUACGGUGCUGAAGCAACAAAUGCCCUGCUUCCAGGAAAAGCCUCUAAGCAUCAGGUAACAUCAAAUCGUACCCCAAACCGACACAGGUGGUCAGGUAGAGAAUACCAAGGCGCUUGAGAGAACUCGGGUGAAGGAACUAGGCAAAAUGGUGCCGUAACUUCGGGAGAAGGCACGCUGAUAUGUAGGUGAAGCGACUUGCUCGUGGAGCUGAAAUCAGUCGAAGAUACCAGCUGGCUGCAACUGUUUAUUAAAAACACAGCACUGUGCAAACACGAAAGUGGACGUAUACGGUGUGACGCCUGCCCGGUGCCGGAAGGUUAAUUGAUGGGGUUAGCGCAAGCGAAGCUCUUGAUCGAAGCCCCGGUAAACGGCGGCCGUAACUAUAACGGUCCUAAGGUAGCGAAAUUCCUUGUCGGGUAAGUUCCGACCUGCACGAAUGGCGUAAUGAUGGCCAGGCUGUCUCCACCCGAGGCUCAGUGAAAUUGAACUCGCUGUGAAGAUGCAGUGUACCCGCGGCAAGACGGAAAGACCCCGUGAACCUUUACUAUAGCUUGACACUGAACAUUGAGCCUUGAUGUGUAGGAUAGGUGGGAGGCUUAGAAGUGUGGACGCCAGUCUGCAUGGAGCCGACCUUGAAAUACCACCCUUUAAUGUUUGAUGUUCUAACGUUGACCCGUAAUCCGGGUUGCGGACAGUGUCUGGUGGGUAGUUUGACUGGGGCGGUCUCCUCCUAAAGAGUAACGGAGGAGCACGAAGGUUGGCUAAUCCUGGUCGGACAUCAGGAGGUUAGUGCAAUGGCAUAAGCCAGCUUGACUGCGAGCGUGACGGCGCGAGCAGGUGCGAAAGCAGGUCAUAGUGAUCCGGUGGUUCUGAAUGGAAGGGCCAUCGCUCAACGGAUAAAAGGUACUCCGGGGAUAACAGGCUGAUACCGCCCAAGAGUUCAUAUCGACGGCGGUGUUUGGCACCUCGAUGUCGGCUCAUCACAUCCUGGGGCUGAAGUAGGUCCCAAGGGUAUGGCUGUUCGCCAUUUAAAGUGGUACGCGAGCUGGGUUUAGAACGUCGUGAGACAGUUCGGUCCCUAUCUGCCGUGGGCGCUGGAGAACUGAGGGGGGCUGCUCCUAGUACGAGAGGACCGGAGUGGACGCAUCACUGGUGUUCGGGUUGUCAUGCCAAUGGCACUGCCCGGUAGCUAAAUGCGGAAGAGAUAAGUGCUGAAAGCAUCUAAGCACGAAACUUGCCCCGAGAUGAGUUCUCCCUGACCCUUUAAGGAUCCUGAAGGAACGUUGAAGACGACGACGUUGAUAGGCCGGGUGUGUAAGCGCAGCGAUGCGUUGAGCUAACCGGUACUAAUGAACCGUGAGGCUUAACCUU